rnacentral:ribozyme from 1 species
GACUUUUUUAACUUUUUUUGUUUUGUUUUGUUUUUUUUUUUCUUA